rnacentral:rRNA from 1 species
GACGAACGCUGGCGGCGUGCUUAACACAUGCAAGUCGAACGGAAAGGCCCUGCUUUUGUGGGGUGCUCGAGUGGCGAACGGGUGAGUAACACGUGAGUAACCUGCCCUUGACUUUGGGUUAACUUCAGGAAACUGGGGCUAAUACCGGAUAGGAGCUCCUGCUGCAUGGUGGGGGUUGGAAAGUUUCGGCGGUUGGGGAUGGACUCGCGGCUUAUCAGCUUGUUGGUGGGGUAGUGGCUUACCAAGGCUUUGACGGGUAGCCGGCCUGAGAGGGUGACCGGCCACACUGGGACUGAGAGACGGCCCAGACUCCUACGGGAGGCAGCAGGGGGGAAUAUUGCACAAGGGGCGGAAGCCUGAUGGAGCAACGCCGCGUGCGGGAUGACGGCCUUCGGGUUGUAAACAGCUUUCGCCUGUGACGAAGCGUGAUGGCGGGAAAUGGGUAAGGAAGCACGGGCUAACUACGU